UACGAAGGGGGGCUAGCGUUGCUCGGAAUCACUGGGCGUAAAGGGCGCGUAGGCGGCUUUAUAAGUCGGGGGUGAAAGCCUGUGGCUCAACCACAGAAAUUGCCUUCGAUACUGUAGAGCUUGAGACCGGAAGAGGUAAGUGGAACUGCGAGUGUAGAGGUGAAAUUCGUAGAUAUUCGCAAGAACACCAGUGGCGAAGGCGGCUUACUGGUCCGGUUCUGACGCUGAGGCGGCGAAAGCGUGGGGAGCAAACAGG
rnacentral:rRNA from 1 species